ACUCCUACGGGAGGCAGCAGUAGGGAAUCUUCCACAAUGGGCGCAAGCCUGAUGGAGCAACACCGCGUGAGUGAAGAAGGGUUUCGGCUCGUAAAGCUCUGUUGUUAAAGAAGAACACGUAUGAGAGUAACUGUUCAUACGUUGACGGUAUUUAACCAGAAAGUCACGGCUAACUACGUGCCAGCAGCCGCGGUAAUACGUAGGUGGCAAGCGUUAUCCGGAUUUAUUGGGCGUAAAGAGAGUGCAGGCGGUUUUCUAAGUCUGAUGUGAAAGCCUUCGGCUUAACCGGAGAAGUGCAUCGGAAACUGGAUAACUUGAGUGCAGAAGAGGGUAGUGGAACUCCAUGUGUAGCGGUGGAAUGCGUAGAUAUAUGGAAGAAC
rnacentral:rRNA from 1 species